rnacentral:rRNA from 1 species
GGACGGGUGAGUAACACGUGAGCAACCUGCCUAUCAGAGCGGGAUAACGAUUGGAAACGGUCGCUAAUACCGCAUAAAGCAGCGGGGGGACAUCCCCCUGCUGCCAAAGAUUUAUCGCUGAUAGAUGGGCUCGCGGCCGAUUAGAUAGUUGGUGAGGUAAUGGCUCACCAAGUCGACGAUCGGUAGCCGGACUGAGAGGUCGAACGGCCACAUUGGGACUGAGACACGGCCCAGACUCCUACGGGAGGCAGCAGUGGGGGAUAUUGCACAAUGGGGGAAACCCUGAUGCAGCGACGCCGCGUGAGGGAAGACGGUCCUCUGGAUUGUAAACCUCUGUCUUCGGGGACGAAAAAAGACGGUACCCGAGGAGGAAGCCACGGCUAACUACGUGCCAGCAGCCGCGGUAAUACGUAGGUGGCGAGCGUUGUCCGGAAUUACUGGGUGUAAAG